AUGUCCAUCGCUCGCACUUGUUGCGUACCUGCGUACCUACGUCACACGCGAACAAAAUAGCAAAUCUGCGUUUGGCAAAACCGCGAAUAAUGCGUUGUUAGUGGGUAAUUGUAAGUUUGUGACUUGUCAGCUUUGACAUUAGACGAUUAGAACGAAUAAACUCAUUAUCAAAACUGUAGAUGAGUAUAUCAUCUAUGGGACAUCGCCGGGACUUAUAUCGAUAUUUAAAUUCUAACGCAAGUUAUAAUCGUGUAAAAUAUUACGAUUUACAAUAUCAAUAUCGUGUUAUGUAUGAAACGUGGAAAGUUGUUCGUAAUCAGGAGUACAGUGAAUAACAUGUAAAUACGAUGGUUUGUUUUCCAUCGGAUGUGAUCCGUGAUCCGGUUCCUUUGUUUUUGGUGACGACGUGGCCACAGCCCUAGCCGCAGCUCUAGCCGCAAUACGCCUCAGACGUGAAGGCUUCAGGCGCGAGCCGGACGCCUUGCGACGGCGCACCUUUGAACCGACAUCGGCGGCAUCCGGACCAUCCGGUAUACCGGUGUUGCCACCGUCUGGACGUGGUUCGCUUGUCUUGGCUUCAAUAGCGACUUCAUUGAAAAUAACUAAAAUACAACGAAAAAAUUAUUCAAAAUGUUUAAAAAAUAAUUUAUUUAAAAUGUACCAUGUGUAUUGUUAUUAUUAUGUUAUAUGUAUUCGCGCGUACAGUUUGUUACCUAUACCGGCAAAUAUGGAAUACCUGUCAUAUUCUAAUACAUUAUGUUGUUACUAGAAA